rnacentral:tRNA from 1 species
GGAGAUGUAGCUCAGAUGGUAGAGCGCUCACUUUGCAAGCGAAAGGUGUGGGGAUCGAUACUCUGCAUUUCCA